AGAUCUGGAAGCGUCUCGGAGACACAUUUCCAGCAGCAGACUGUCAACUUCACAAUUGCAUUACUCGAUAGAUUCACAAGCUCCAAGGUGCGUGCAUCCUUUAUCACCUUUUCAGAGUUUGCUGAAGUCAUCACAAAACUCACAAGUGACAGUGCUGCUCUUAUCAAGGGUAUAAAACGUCUCCGUACCGUCGUGACUGAUGGAGGAACAAACCUCCAUCUUGGCGUCGAGAGGGCAAAGAGACAAAUCUUAGCAUCAGGUAUGUUACCAUUGUUACGAAGGUAGUUUAUGCAGGGGCCGCAGAACAGAGGGGAUGGAGCUGAAGCCCCCCCCCCCCCCCCACACACACACACACCUCUUUCAAUAGACAUAUACAAUACGUUAAAAGUACCUAUCUCGUUGUUGUUUUUUUCAGCUAUACCCUCUCCCCCCACC